GUGCUAAUAUCAUCAAUACAUAUAUUAAAAUUGGAAUAACACAGAAAACAUCAGCAUGGUUCCUGUUAAAAAAUGACUUGUAAAUUUGUGAACAAAUUUAUAUUUUU
rnacentral:snRNA from 1 species